rnacentral:rRNA from 1 species
GUGGGGAAUUUUGGACAAUGGGCGAAAGCCUGAUCCAGCCAUGCCGCGUGCAGGAUGAAGGCCUUCGGGUUGUAAACUGCUUUUGUACGGAACGAAAAGACUCCUUCUAAUAAAGGGGGUCCAUGACGGUACCGUAAGAAUAAGCACCGGCUAACUACGUGCCAGCAGCCGCGGUAAUACGUAGGGUGCAAGCGUUAAUCGGAAUUACUGGGCGUAAAGCGUGCGCAGGCGGUUAUAUAAGACAGAUGUGAAAUCCCCGGGCUCAACCUGGAAACUGCAUUUGUGACUGUAUAGCUAGAGUACGGUAGAGGGGGAUGGAAUUCCGCGUGUAGCAGUGAAAUGCGUAGAUAUGCGGAGGAACACCGAUGGCGAAGGCAAUCCCCUGGGCCUGCACUGACGCUCAUGCACGAAAGCGUGGGGAGCAAACAGGAUUAGAUACCCUGGUAGUCC